AUGGCUGUCGUCAGCUCGUGUCGUGAGAUGUUGGGUUAAGUCCCGCAACGAGCGCAACCCUUGCCUUUAGUUGCCAGCAUUGAGUUGGGCACUCUAAGGGGACUGCCGAUGACAAAUCGGAGGAAGGUGGGGAUGACGUCAAAUCAUCAUGCCCCUUAUGACCUGGGCUACACACGUGCUACAAUGGGCGGUACAAAGGGUUGCCAACCCGCGAGGGGGAGCCAAUCCCAAAAAGCCGCUCUCAGUUCGGAUUGCAGGCUGCAACUCGCCUGCAGAAGCCGGAAUCGCUAGUAAUCGCGA
rnacentral:rRNA from 1 species